rnacentral:rRNA from 1 species
UACGGAGGGUGCAAGCAUUAAUCGGAUUUAUUGGGCGUAAAGGGCGCGUAGGUGGGAAGCUAAGUCAGAUGUGAAAUCCCGGGGCUUAACCCCGGAACAGCAUAUGAAACUGACUUUCUAGAGGGUAGGCGGGGAAAAUGGAAUUCCACAAGUAGCGGUGAAAUGCGUAGAUAUGUGGAAGAACACCGGUGGCGAAGGCGAUUUUCUAGCUUAUACCUGACACUAAAGCGCGAAAGCAAGGGGAUCAAACAGG